GUGGGGAAUCUUGCGCAAUGGGCGAAAGCCUGACGCAGCCAUGCCGCGUGAAUGAUGAAGGUCUUAGGAUUGUAAAAUUCUUUCACCGGGGACGAUAAUGACGGUACCCGGAGAAGAAGCCCCGGCUAACUUCGUGCCAGCAGCCGCGGUAAUACGAAGGGGGCUAGCGUUGCUCGGAAUUACUGGGCGUAAAGGGCGCGUAGGCGGACAGUUUAGUCAGAGGUGAAAGCCCAGGGCUCAACCUUGGAAUUGCCUUUGAUACUGGCUGUCUUGGGUACGGGAGAGGUGAGUGGAACUCCGAGUGUAGAGGUGAAAUUCGUAGAUAUUCGGAAGAACCCCAGUGGCGAAGGCGACUCACUGGCCCGUUACUGACGCUGAGGCGCGAAAGCGUGGGGAGCAAACAGGAUUAGAUACCCUGGUAGUCC
rnacentral:rRNA from 1 species